rnacentral:rRNA from 1 species
AGAGGUAUCGUAAUUGAAGAGGUUUGGAAAGACCCACCACAGAAGGUAAUAGUCCUGUAUGUUAAACGAGAAGACUUUAGAUAUGAUCCAGAGUACCACGGGACACGUGAAACCCUGUGGGAAGCAGGAGGGACCACCCUCCAAGGCUAAAUACUACCUAGUGACCGAUAGCGUAUAGUACCGUGAGGGAAAGGUGAAAAGAACCCCGGGAGGGGAGUGAAAUAGACCCUGAAACCCUGCACUUACAAGCUGUGGAAGCACAUUUCUUGUGUGACCGCGUACUUUUUGUAGAACGGGCCAACGAGUUACGUUAAGUAGCAAGGUUAAGCACUUAAGGUGCGGAGCCGUAGCGAA